UCCAAUAGCCACAUUUCUAUACAAUAUUCACACUGGUUGAAAUAAACAAUUUGCUGAGCGAAACUUUUGUGCGAAAGUAAUAAAAGCCCUGCAUAGACACUAAACUCACCCAAAUAUAGGCAGGUUGAGUUUAGUGAUUGAAGAAAAUAAAAGCUUGGGCUAUUAAUUGAAGUUUUACGGUAAAAUCAAAAUAGAAAAUGGGAGCUAUACAUUAUACACACCUUUCAUUUAUACAGAUAGCAGCAACUUCUGGAACAGGAGUUUCAUCAGUUUACAUUGGAAAAUUUGAUGAGAAAACAACCUCUGCUAAAAAUUUGCUCAGACUGAUAACGAUAGCACAGUCUGCCCAUCAAAUGGUGAACAAACACAGAAUAAUCAGCUGCACUGACAUUUGCCACCUUGUUGAGAACAGUUUCAAAUCUGCUGUUAAGGCACCAUGUAAAACCUCUUUCAAAUGACGCAGGCCAAUAUAGAGACUAGCAUUGGUUAAAGAAAAUAUGAGCUACUAGAGCUGUGGCUGGACUAUAAAGGUCCACAAAGAAUGUUUUGCUUCUACAGUACCUUUAAAACAGUUAUGUAGUAAAACAACAAAAAAGGAAAUUUAAAGGAAUGAUAGUCCAGAAAUUAAAAAAGUGCAGCCUCAUUGGAACUUUGGAGACUUAAAAAUUCUAAUUUCAUCACAAAGCGACAAGAAGCAUGCCGUCAUAUUAGACUAAACCACUGCAUAUUCUUUCCAAUCAGACCAUUAAAUUAAACUCUCAUCUCGCUGUCCAAACCCUCAAAUCCUUCCUCUUUUUCCAGACAUCACAACCAUCCAUCAUCUUGUUUCAGUUUGUGAAUGUGCUGCAUCCACACAGACGUUGUUGUUGCAAUAGACACGUGUGGAUCUGACCCCAGUGCUUUUUGUUUAUGGGGUCUGGAUGUUUGUUUGAUAUCUGGAUAAAUAUCGUCUGUCUUUCCAAACUGUGUGUUUACUGAUGGUUGUGUGAUGACUUUACAUUCCUGUGUUGUUUCAAGGAUACGCAAGGGUACAUAGAUUAAAAUUAAAAUAGUUUAGCAUGCAUUCAUACUUGAAAACAGGUGUGCUAACAGGUGGUGUGGCCUGUGCGCUCACUCACACACACACACACACACACACACACACAAUUGAAAGAGAACUACUAAUCAGGUAGAGGAACAUUUGCUUCUGUCCUUCCAUUUACAAUCCAAACAGUAGAUACUUUUGGUCAUUAAUAGCAUUUUUAUAAUAGUAACAACAGGAAGCAGAUGAAAUAACUUUUUGGGGGCUUGAACUCAAAAUUCAACACUCAAGUAGGCAAUUUCCAUGUACAGUUUUUUUUUUUUCAUUCACUUUGUUACUAUUUUCAGAACCUUGAUGUCAUUUUUCACAACUCUAGACACAAAACUCACAUUUUUCAAAACUCUAAAACUCUUAACCCUUUUCUCAAUUGCUUGGAUACAAUACACAAAACUUAGAUCAUUUGUUCAUUCAACAAAAAUCACCUGUUCAAUAUGACACAACUUAUCAAAGUACUACUAUUUCAAAAGGCAAUUCACACAUUACAUUUCAAAUGUGUCUAUUCAUUUCCUUACAAUGAUCUAACCAUCUGUGACGAUUGGACAGAGAGGCAGAGGUGAGUGAACCUGGCGGGAGGAAACAGACAGACAGAGUUAGCGGGUGACGAGGAGGUGAGACAAAGGGAAAUUUCAUAAAAUGCCAGAACGAAGCGGUGACACCAAGUCAGGAGCUGCGACGAUCGAGCGAGGAUGGAGUGGAAAGCUGGGGUAGAAAUACUGGUCGUGAGAGGGUUGAUGGCUGGCAGGUGCGGCGGCCGGGGAUGGAGGUUAACGAGGAGCAGGUGUGGGUAGCUAGCCGGGCUCCGGAGCGGAGAGGGGGAGAGCACACAGAGAGAGAGAGAGAGAGGGAGAAGGCACAGGAGAAACCAGAAUGCGAGGGAAAGGAGAAACAGGACACUCACCAACAGCCGGGCUGUCACCGCGACAACUAUCAAUUGAUACAACUGCUCAAAAUGAUAAGUAACUGUUGCAUUACUCUUAAUGCAUAGUUGUAUGGAAACAGACAAACAAUCUUCCAUGUUUACAGUAAAUCAUGAAAGUUUCAAGAUAACGAGAUUCAUUGCCACCAAUUAGCGUGGAGUAUGAACCAAUUAGACUACAAUAUCCAUGGAUGUAGCCUAAUAUUUUAUCAUACUGUAAUGCUUCAUCAGACACUGUGUCUAUGGUCCCAAAUACUGUACCACCUUUUCAGACUAUUUACAGUAUUGACAGUACUGCACUGUAUAGAUGCAGGCCCUUGUAAUUGCUUGUCCAAUUCUGCCAGCUCGUUACUAAUGAUUGAGUGCACAUUGUGGAAUAAGUAUAUAAAGAGUUGAUUGGGAUCCAAUUGCAAGAGCAUAGUAAUACGUAACAUGGAGCCAGCAGGUGAUACAGGUCACAGUGGAGGUCAAGCAGUGGUGGGAGGAAGACGAGGAAGACUUGUUGGUCAAAGGAGGUGGUCGUGGGCCUUGUUUAAGAGGUUCCCUUCCUUAACCCGAUUGAGGAAUUUUUCUCCGCAUGGAGUUGGAAGGUUCAUGACAGGCACCCUCAUGAACAAGUCACUCUUCUCCAGGCCAUGGAUGACUCCUGCAAUGACAUCACAGCAGACCAGUGUCAGGCCUGGAUUCGCCAUGCCCAAAGGUUUUUUCCAAAAUGUUUUGCUAAUGAAAACAUCCAUUGUGAUGUAGAUCACAACACAGAGUUGAUGACAGUGUAGAAGUACAGUAAUCACUCCUGUUUUGUUUCUUACAGUACAAGCAAGCAAGUUGAGGAACACUUGCUUGCUUGUCUUUUGUUUUCUAUUUCAUAGCUAAUUAUUUUUGCUUUGAUUCAAAUAAACCUAUGUUGUGAUUGUACUGUAGUGUUUUGCAUCAAUAUAUUACAAACUUUGAUCAACGAU